GACGAACGCUGGCGGCGUGCUUAACACAUGCAAGUCGAACGGUGAAGCUCCAGCGUGCUGGAGUGUAUCAGUUGCGAACGGGUGAGUAACACGUGAGCAACCUGCCUCUGACUCUGGAAUAAGCGCUGGAAACGGCGGCUAAUACUGGAUACUAGAAGGGUCCGCAUGGGCUCUUUCUGGAAAGUGUUUCGGCUUGGGAUGGGCGGGCGGCCUAGCAGCUUGUUGGUGAGGUAAUGGCGCACCCAGGCGACGACGGGGGGCCGGCCUGGGAGUGCGACCGGCCACACAGGGACACGGAAACCGGCCAGACUGAUACUGCAGGAAGCGGUGGAGAAUUGUGCGCAAAGGGCGGAGGCCGGAAGCAGCGACGCCGCGUGGUAGAUGACGGCCUUCGGGUUGUAAACCUCUUUCAGCAGGGAAGAAGAGAAAGUGACGGUACCUUCAGAAAAAGCACCGGCUAACUACGUG
rnacentral:rRNA from 1 species